rnacentral:snoRNA from 1 species
UUCCAUCGCUAAGUCAAGGCCUCUUCCUGCGACUUCGGUCGUGCACAACUUCGGUUGUGCUUGUUUCAAUGGAAUUCCGUCUGUUACAGCUUUGGUAUAUUAACACUGGCCCGCACCGAAUUUCGUUAUGAACCUAGGUUGACUUGCUUUCGUCUUGAAAGCCUGUCGCAAAGGGCCAGCUGUGUUUUGUUUUUGAGUAGAAGUCUGCCUCUGCCUUUUUUUGGUGGCAUUGUGGCAGUCUUCUUAGUAACAUCCCACACAUUC